rnacentral:rRNA from 1 species
GGAAGAGAAAGUCAGAUGUGAAAUCCCGGGGCUCAACCUCGGAACAGCAUUUGAAACUUCUCAUCUAGAGGGUAGGCGGAGAAAACGGAAUUCCACAAGUAGCGGUGAAAUGCGUAGAUAUGUGGAAGAACACCGGUGGCGAAAGCGGUUUUCUAGCUUAUACCUGACGCUGAGGCGCGAAAGCUGGGGGAGCGAACAGGAUUAGAUACCCUGGUAGUCCUAGCCGUAAACGAUGUAUACUAGGUGUAGCCGGACUCAACCCCGGAUGUGCCGAAGCUAACGCAUUAAGUAUACCGCCUGGGGAGUACGCUCGCAAGGGUGAAACUCAAAAGAAUUGACGGGGACCCGCACAAGCAGUGGAGCAUGUGGUUUAAUUCGAUGCAACGCGAAGAACCUUACCUGGGCUUGACUCGGAUAGGACAGCUCUGGAAACAGAGUCUCCCUUCGGGGCCUAUACACAGGUGCUGCAUGGCUGUCGUCAGCUCGUGCCGUGAGGUGUUGGGUUAAGUCCCGCAACGAGCGCAACCCUUGUCACUAGUUGCCAACAGUUCGGCUGGGAACUCUAGUGAGACUGCCUGGGUUAACCAGGAGGAAGGUGAGGAUGACGUCAAGUCCGCAUGGCCCUUAUGUCCAGGGCUACACACGUGCUACAAUGGUCGAUACAGAGGGAAGCCAAACCGUGAGGUGGAGCAAAUCUCAAAAAGUCGGCCCCAGUUCGGAUUGUAGUCUGCAA